GUUUGAUUGUGUGUUCUGUUUACCUCCUUUUUGAUAUGAUGACAAAAAGGGGGAGAAAUAUGUAUAAAAUAUGUAAAAGGAGAGAAAUAUGUAUAAAAUAUGUAAAAGGAAUCAAUGGAAAUCAAUAAAAAGAUAAACUCCUAAAACACACAAAUUUGUUCUAAGUGGAUUCGGUACCUCGAGGCUCAUUAUCUCUCUUUUGGGGCUCCUAAUGGAGUAAUCUCCAGAAUCUAUUCAAGGGAUAUUCGGAGAUUAGCUGAAUCCUACUCAAGAACAAAUUGACAGAUUUU
rnacentral:lncRNA from 1 species